rnacentral:rRNA from 1 species
CAACUUCAGCAAUGGUCUCGAGUUCUCGCACAGAUGAUCGACCCGCACGGAAUCGCGAUAAGUAAUGUGAAUUGCAGAUUUUCAGUGAAUCAUCGAAUCUUUGAACGCACCUUGCGCCCCUUGGUAUUCCGAGGGGCAUGCCUGUUUGAGUGUCAUU